rnacentral:rRNA from 1 species
GUCUACGGCCAUGCCACCCUGAACAAGCCUGAUCCCGUCUGAUCUCGGAAGCUAAGCAGGGCCGGGCCUGGUUAGUACUUGGAUGGGAGACCAGGUGCCGUAGGCG